rnacentral:tRNA from 1 species
GCCUGGGUGGCUCAGUCGGUUAAGCGUCCGACUUCGGCUCAGGUCAUGAACUCGUGGUCUGUGGGUUCGAGCCCCGCAUCGGGCU